AUUGAACGCUGGCGGCAUGCCUUACACAUGCAAGUCGAACGGUAACAGGUCUUCGGAUGCUGACGAGUGGCGAACGGGUGAGUAAUACAUCGGAACGUGCCCGAUCGUGGGGGAUAACGAUGCGAAAGCUUUGCUAAUACCGCAUAAGAUCUACGGAUGAAAGCAGGGGACCGCAAGGCCUUGCGCGAACGGAGCGGCCGAUGGCAGAUUAGGUAGUUGGUGGGAUAAAAGCUUACCAAGCCGACGAUCUGUAGCUGGUCUGAGAGGACGACCAGCCACACUGGGACUGAGACACGGCCCAGACUCCUACGGGAGGCAGCAGUGGGGAAUUUUGGACAAUGGGCGAAAGCCUGAUCCAGCCAUGCCGCGUGCAGGGUGAAGGCCUUCGGGUUGUAAACUGCUUUUGUACGGAACGAAAAGACUCUGGUUAAUACCUGGGGUCCAUGACGGUACCGUAAGAAUAAGCACCGGCUAACUACGUGCCAGCAGCCGCCGUAAAAC
rnacentral:rRNA from 1 species